AACAUUGCUAUGGAUAAGUCAAACCCCUAAAUAUUCUUCUUUUCUUUUUCUUUUUUAAAAGGGAGAGCGUGGAAACCCAGGCCCAGUGGGCCCACCUGGAGAAAAGGGAAUUAUGGGAUAUCCAGGACCACCUGGAGACCCAGGGCCCAUAGGUCCUCUUGGAUUACCUGGUCAUGUAGGAACAAGAGGACUACCUGGGCUACAGGGUCCAAAGGGACGAAGGGUAA
rnacentral:lncRNA from 1 species